rnacentral:tRNA from 1 species
AGUCUUGUAGUAAAGUUUACGUUAGAUUGCAAAUCUUAAAACGGAGUGGAAUUCUCCCGGGACUU